rfam:Treponema maltophilum ATCC 51939 genomic scaffold aczIZ-supercont-complete, whole genome shotgun sequence.
CUUUUUAUGCCGUGUUUGCGUUGCAAACACGCUUAUUUAUUGCGCUUUCUCAACUGACGUUUGCGAAAGCGCUGAAAAAAGUUUUAUCGGAAACCGAUGUUUCCUCAAAAACUUUUUAUGGAG